rnacentral:rRNA from 1 species
UACGGAGGAUCCGAGCGUUAUCCGGAUUUAUUGGGUUUAAAGGGUGCGUAGGCGGACUAAUAAGUCAGUUGUGAAAGUUUGCGGCUCAACCGUAAAAUUGCAGUUGAUACUGUUAUUCUUGAGUGUACAUAAGGUAGGCGGAAUUCGUGGUGUAGCGGUGAAAUGCUUAGAUAUCACGAAGAACUCCAAUUGCGAAGGCAGCUUACCGGGGUACAACUGACGCUGAGGCACGAAAGUGUGGGUAUCAAAC